rnacentral:rRNA from 1 species
AUGCUUUUUUGCAGGUGCCCGCUGGCGGUGGCGCUCUGGCAAACCAUGGCGGACCAAUGGCGAAUCCCGGAUGUCGCAUCAUUCCGCCGGACGGGAUCGGAGUGGCUUGCCCAAGCCCUUUGCGAUCUGCCGGAUAUGGAGAGGAUGGAGCUCAUGAUGACUUUGUGGCGAUGUUGGUUCGUUCGCAACGAGCUGGUGCACCACAAGAAGCCGCCGCCGAUUGAAGUGUCCAAACGCUUCCUCACCAGCUACGUCGACUCUUUGGUGGGGAUUCAGAACAAUCCAGAGGCGAGUCUCACCAAGGGGAAGCAUGUGGUUGAUACGAUUGUCCCCAAACGGAUCGUGCAACGGGAAGUCCAAGCGCCGCCAGUGCCGCUGCACUGGUCCAGACCAGCCACGGGGUGGACAAAGCUCAACAUUGAUGGAUCCUUUAGUGCCACGGGUGGAGAGGCCGGAGCAGGCAUGAUCGUUCACAGCGAAACCGGUGAUAUCAUCUUCUCCUCCUGCAGGGAACUACGGAUGUGCUCUGAGCCCCUUGAGGCCGAGCUACAUGCAUGCAUGGAGGGCUCAAUCUAG